GAUGAAGAACGCAGCGAAAUGCGAUAAGUAAUGUGAAUUGCAGAAUUCAGUGAAUCAUCGAAUCUUUGAACGCACAUUGCGCCCGCCAGUAUUCUGGCGGGCAUGCCUGUUCGAGCGUCAUUUCAACCAUCAAGCCCUGCUUGCGUUGGGGUCCUGCGGCUGCCCGCAGGCCCUGAAAACCAGUGGCGGGCUCGCUAGUCACACCGAGCGCAGUAAUACAUCUCGCUUUGGGCGUGCGGCGGGUUCUUGCCGUUAAACACCCCCUUUUUACCAAGGUUGACCUCGGAUCAGGUAGGAAUACCCGCUGAACUUAAGCAUAUCAAUAAGCGGAGA
rnacentral:misc_RNA from 1 species